CCUACGGGCGGCAGCAGUGGGGGAUAUUGCACAAUGGGGGCAACCCUGAUGCAGCGACGCCGCGUGAGCGAUGGCGUACUUCGGUAUGUAAAGCUCUUUCAGCAGGGGAGAGAAUGACGGUACCUGACCAAGAAGCCCCGGCUAAAUACGUGCCAGCAGCCGCGGUAAUACGUAUGGGGCAAGCGUUAUCCGGAUUUACUGGGUGUAAAGGGGGCGUAGGCGGCAGGGCAAGCCUGAUGGGAAAGCCCGGGGCUCAACCCCGGGACUGCAUUGGGAACUGCCCCGCUCGAGUGCCGGAGGGGGAGGGGGAAGUGCUAGGGUAGCGGGGAAAUGCGUAGAUAUUAGGAGGGAAACCAGUGGCGAAGGCGGCCUGCUGGACGGUGUACUGACGCUGAGGCUCGAAAGCGUGGGGAGCAAACAGGAUUAGAUACCCGAGUAGUC
rnacentral:rRNA from 1 species